GUAACACGUGGGUAACCUGCCUGUAAGACUGGGAUAACUCCGGGAAACCGGGGCUAAUACCGGAUGGUUGUUUGAACCGCAUGGUUCAAACAUAAAAGGUGGCUUCGGCUACCACUUACAGAUGGACCCGCGGCGCAUUAGCUAGUUGGUGAGGUAACGGCUCACCAAGGCAACGAUGCGUAGCCGACCUGAGAGGGUGAUCGGCCACACUGGGACUGAGACACGGCCCAGACUCCUACGGGAGGCAGCAGUAGGGAAUCUUCCGCAAUGGACGAAAGUCUGACGGAGCAACGCCGCGUGAGUGAUGAAGGUUUUCGGAUCGUAAAGCUCUGUUGUUAGGGAAGAACAAGUACCGUUCGAAUAGGGCGGUACCUUGACGGUACCUAACCAGAAAGCCACGGCUAACUACGUGCCAGCAGCCGCGGUAAUACGU
rnacentral:rRNA from 1 species